GCCUUCGUAGUGUAGCGGUCAGCACGCUCGACUGGAAUUAGAGAGCUCCGCGGUUCGAUUCCCUGCGAGGGCA